GGAUCUUCCACCUUUUCAACACACUUCAAUAAUGGUGAAACUGGAAGCCAACCUAUCCUCCUAAUAUGGAGUUCUUAGUAAUACAGCCACAUUAUAUGGUAUGUGUCCUCCCUCCUCACUGCUCUUUUUUUGUCAAGAGAAAAUCUUGCUGGUAAUAAGAAGCAAUGCUAAACACUUUCUACAGAACGUUUCAUUAGUUUUGACAGGAUGGGAUAAUAUACUGUAAAGAAAUGUACAGCAAGGGUGAGAAGACAGAAUAAUUGUCCUAAUAAAUUCCCCAAUACAUACACACAUAAAGACAGACUUUAAAUUGUGCGUUUUCAUGAAUAAUAGCAAAGGCAAUAAAAUAUUGCUGAGUAACUUCAGUACACAUUAAUACACUCACACAUAUAUAUGGGGAAUCAUUGAACACAAACUUUCUCAAGCUUAGUGAAGUCUCAACUUACCAAUUGCAAUAACUAGUCAGCCUGCAUAAAUUCUUUCAUCGUUUUAAGUCUAGUUUUCUGAUUCAAAUUUACUGGGGUGGGGGUAGUUUUGCACAAAGGACAAUAUGAUGUACAGAAAACAGCUUAUUUUAUGUAAGGAGAGAUCACUUUUGUGCAAAUCAGCAUUUCAUAAAUAGGGCCCAAAUUAUGAAAAAUCUCCUAAAAUGCCAAUACAUUCCUAAAAUCUUGAUCUGAAGUUAAAUUGUUCUUGUAUUCAAGAAUGAAAUAAAUGAAGAUUUGCAUUCUGAGCAUACUAUCACAAAUAAUUUCCCUUGUAGGUAAUUUAGUAAUGGGAAUAUUCAAAUUAGAUUACUAUCUUUAAAGGAAAGAUCUACUCCCUUGCAGUGUCAAAAAUGGUAGCCACUUCAAUUUGGGACUAACAGUCUUUAAUACCCAGAGACAUAAACCAAGCAUUCAGCUAUCAGACCAAACUGUAUUAUGUUGCAGCAUCACAGAAAUGACAGUCAGAACUCAAAAUCCACGUAUUCUGUUCAAUUAAGAGCACUUGAAGGGCACUUGAAGCUCAUCUAUACAGACAUUAUUAUUUUUCUUUUUUCUCUUUCUUUUGAAAUUUCUCUUCCAUUUUCUGUUUUCUUUUGUCCUGAGAAAAUAUCACUUUGUGAAUUAGAUUGUUUGUAUUAAUUUUAAAAAAUAAUUUAAAAAAUUAUUUAUAAAAAGAGGAAAAAUCCUGGAAAGACAAAGCAAUAAAGUCUUAACUGCCUGCCCUAACCAUUUAAUUUUCGUUCCUUAGAAUAAUUCAGGGUCACACAGGGAAAGGAAAAGGAAUAGGACAGGUGAGCUCCCUUUCCAGAAUUGUCCAAGAUGUGCAAAAGCAGCUGAAAAAAAGAAAUGAAAUCUAAGCAAGAAAGGCAGGAGGACUUGAUGGGAAGCAAGAGGAGUGUCAACCACGUUGAGGAUCUCAUCUUUUAUAGGAACAUUAAGAAAGCUUAAUGUAUGUGAAGUGCAGUCCAAGGGAGAGAAUUCUGGACAAGGACUUAAGUUUAGGGACAUUCUCCAUCAUGCUUAUUUUAAGGACUGUUCAUCUAAAACUGAUCAACAAGGAAAGGAAGGGUCAGACUGGAUCCCAAGCUGUGAACAUUCUGAAUCCUGUCCUUCUGCCUUGUAAGGAGGUGAGAUGUUCUUAAGAGGUCACCAAGGAAGCUCUUUGAGCCGGACUGCAG